GAUUAAAUGGCUGAAAUAUAAGUGAUAAAUUGUAAAUUUAUUUAUGAAGGGUUAAUCUUCUUUAAUCAA
rnacentral:tRNA from 1 species